GUUUGAGCACGUUUUUGAGUGUUACAUCGGUUUUACAUUUGUUAAACCGAUGUAACACUCAAAAUUAAUCUUGUGUUUCUUGGAAAACGUAAAAUUAACUGCGGAUGGAUAUGCGGUUUCACACUCCAACGUAUUCUCCUCAUCAGUCCGUUUGCGCGGAAUCUGCAGGUUGACUGUCCUACGAAACAAUCUACUUCAAGAGCAUCAACCUGUGAAGAUCGCCUUUGACGAUUUGAAAAAGGUUGCCAUGGUUACAGAAAUUGGAGGAGUGUCCAGCUGUGCGAGUCCUCAUGCCCCAUGAAUUGGCGGUCCAGUUCAGCCUUUUUGGACGACAUUGGAAACACAAGCUCCGUGACCCGCGUCUCUUUGAAGUUGUGUAUGGGACACUUAAAAGAAAUGGAUCCAUCUACAGAAUCACACAAAGAUAUGGAAAAGGCACUCUCAAAGUGGUUUACUGGAGCCUGUGACUGGUGGAAAUAGGAAAGUUAGAACAACUAGGGAGGCUGUCAGUUCAAACUCAGGUGGGCAGAUCUUUCAAGAUGGACAGUUUCAAUAAUGUAUGAGAGCUUUCUAAGUUUAAGCAUGCAUGUGACAUGAAGGUUAUUCUUAAAAAUGUUUGACAAAACGGUAUUGUGAAAGAUCUAUAUAGCUCUGGGUAUGUAUAUACAUAUAUAUCUACAGUACAGACCAAAAGUUUGGACUCACAGUUGUGUCCAAACUUUUGGUCUGCACUGUAUGUUAUAUAGAUGGUAUUUAGAUUUAUACAUUAAUAUAGAUCUUUACAGAUAUAUGUAGGUGUCUUUAUAUGUGUGCAGCUAUAGAUAUAUGUUCAUUAAUCUAUAUUUAUAGAUCUGUUUAUAUGUUUGUUAUAGUAAACUAGUUUCUGUUUUCAAAAUGCCAUGUGAAUAAUUGUUUUUUUAUUUUAUUUUUUUUAACAGCGCAUUUUUUGUUGUGGCACAAUUUGCUGAGUGUUAAUGAAGUUCUAAUAAUUGCUGUAGUGAGGUAAAAAAUAACUUCUGACAAUAUUUCAAAUUACAAAAUAAAACGCCUUGACCAAAAUAAAUUUUUCAUCUCUUUUUUUUUUCUAUUGCAAGUUUUAUGCUAACACAUUUUAGGACCUUUGUUUUGUUGAUCAAGAUUGCAUAUCUAAGAAUGUAAUUCACUUCCAGGUUAGGUGAGAAAGACCCCAUUGUUCCUACAAGGAUAUGGCAUCUGGGUCCCACUGAAAACCCAGUUAAAGCCCAUUAAAAUAUACCUGGGCAAACCCAUGUGGGGCCACCAUGGAAACCUUGGACAAACCCACUUGUUACCCAUAUUCUAGCCCAGAUCAGACCCAAUUGGGACCUAGGUAAAUAUUCCUCAAGGCACCUUCGUGGGUCUCAUGUAAGAUAACCAUCUGGGUCCCACUGAAGACCCAGUCAGAGCCCAUUAAAAUCUACCUGGGCAAACCCAUGUGGGGCCACCAUGGAAACCGUGGACAAACCCACUUGUUACCCAUAUUCUAGCCCAGUUCAGACCCAAUUGGGACCCACAUAAAUAUACCUGAAAUCACCCAAGUGGG